AACAAGGCGAUAUUAUGGCAAGGUCAAAUGACUGACUUUUUCGCCGAUCGGCUUUUCACGGACUAACCUCCCUCUGCAACAGAGAUAUAUGGUACAUUGUGUGAUUUCACUUGGUACCACUUGUGCUGAAGAAAAAAAAGUUGGGCAGAAUGGCUGCUUGCGAUGUAUGAUGGCUGUGUCACACAUAUGAUCCAUUGUAUGAAAUAAGAAAGAUUAAGAGCAGCAGUAAAAUUCUCAAGCAUCAAAAAGAAAUGGAAUACACGAAGUAGCCAGCUUUUUGAAGAUAAACAGAUGUGAGUCUAUAUUUGGAUGGAAGAAUACCUGG